rnacentral:lncRNA from 12 species
CUGUUGUGACCAAGGAGUUGUCUCUUUAAGGGACAACCAAAGAGUAAGAUUUCUAUCAGUGAGGCUCCAGGGCUGCCCAAGUAGUCCGGUCGGUCCCCUGAGGAAAGAGGUGGGGGCCCUGGACUGGGUGACUUCAGCCACUAGCGUCAACCCUGUUGAAGUUUCCUGCGUGUCCCCGAGAAGGUAAGCAAUCAGUAAAGAAGGAGAGAGGGAAAGAACGAGAACCUUUGAAAGAGUACUUACAUUUCCAAUUUCCUAUUCAAAGAAAUUCGUACCACUUGGCUGUUCCUGUAUCCUACCUACGAUCCGGGAAGGAAAUGGAGAUCCAAGUGGUCAGUAAGCUGGGGAGCUCACCAACCAACUGUUUUAGUUGCCAUGGCAGUUCUAAUUCUCAUUGUGAGGCAACACUGGAAUUUUGAUCCAUGGGUGAGGCAACUGGGAGGUGGGUUGAUGAGUGUCCAUCUCUGAGAGCACAGAUGGGAAAAUCACACUUGCAGAACAUUUGUGGAGACCUCUUCAUGUAAACUCACUUGACCUUCAUAGGUGUUUUAUAUAUCCGUUUACCAUGAACACACUGAGACCCCACAGAUGUGGGGUGUUUCUCAUUUCACUGAAGCUGGGUUUGAACCUAAGACUGGCUCCAAAGACAGUUUUCCUGGGACGCCUGGGUGGCUCAGUGGUUGAGCAUCUGCCUUUGCUCAAGGCGUGAUCCGGAUUUCCAGGACUCAGUCUCACAUCGGGCUCCUUGUAUGGAGCCUGCUUUUCCCUCUGCCUAUGUCUCUGCCUCUCUCUCUGUGUCUCUCAUAAAUAAAUAAAUAAAAUCUUAAAAACAAAACAAAAACAAAGACAGUUUUCUUGAAGCUACAUCAAAAAGUGUCCCCAGGCCCCCAAAGCAGGGGACAAACCCCAUGUGCUGGGCCACCAAGACACCGACCCCAGUGCCACUGAGGGUCUAUGGGCCUCUCAGCCGCCUCAUCCCAGCAGAGUGCCAGGCACAGGGAGUCACCAGCUCAGGGAGCAUCCCAAGACUUCCCACACACAGGCAUGAAGACUUCUGUGCCCUCCUUCUUUAUAAUUAUGUUUUUAAAUCAAAGCCAUACCACGAAAGCUUCAUCCACAGGUCACGUGCUCUGGCUCAGUGAAAUGGGAUUCUGUUCCUUGUUGACAUGAACGUAGUUGGCAUACACGUGUGACUCUUGCCAUACUGUCACUCGGUCGGUGACUUAAGAAACAGGGCUUCUUUGAUGAAAGAGGAUCUCAGCUGCAAGUUUUCCCCAUGGAAGGGAAGUUCUGCCUUUCUGUUGAAAUAUGUCCAGUGACUAGCCAUCGUCACGUGAGCACAUGCUGCUCCAAGUCAUGCUUGUUGGCUGGCUCCAAACAUAACGCACAGAAUCACGUGGUUAGAAAGCAGUCCGCAAGAUGAGUCAGGGGCCUUAUCACGGAAGUACAAAUACAAAAGUAAAAGAUAAGAUGCAUGGAGAGCUUGCCGUUGCUAGGUCAAGGUUCUGGAGUAUGGUACUGCUGUGUCUGGGGGCUGACGGAGGGUGGGGAAGAGGAGAGGCAGGGCUCUGGAGAGAAGGGAUGGGGCUUGGUGUGUGUGUGUGGGGGGGGGGGUAGGGGACCCCAUCUGUACCUUGGGCAACAGGGUAGAUUGUGAUGCCAGGCCUAGAGACACAAGCAGGGGGAGCUGCAGAGUCUGUGUGCAAUGGGCGGAAUGCCUGAGCCCCUGAUGCCUGUGGCCUAAUCCCUGGACCUGUGAAUGUGUAAUUGGUCCUGUCACAAAGGUGAUAGUUCUAGCCAGACGUCGGUAGACCUGUCCCAGAACACCUUCCACUUCAAAGUGGUGGUUGAAAUCCAUGGUGGGGACAGGCUCAGACGUGAAGGUGACAAGUGACACCUCAGGACCUGCGGCCAUGAGCUGGGUUCAAGUGAAGUGAAAUCAUAAGGAAUAGAACCUCUGGGGCUCUGGGUGAAAUGUUACUGCUUAUUUCCAAGAUACCUGAUGAACAAGUGGCUACAGAUUUGGGCAAGCACUUGGUAUUUAUCUAAUUGCCCCUUUCUAGGGGGAAGCCACCAGGGGCAGAGGGUCUGACUCUAGUGGUCUCUGGGGACACUCCCACCAAAUAGUCCAGCUUACAUUCA